rnacentral:rRNA from 1 species
UACGGAGGGUGCAAGCAUUAAUCGGAUUUAUUGGGCGUAAAGGGCGCGUAGGCGGAUAAGAAAGUUAGAUGUGAAAUCCUAGGGCUCAACCCUAGAACAGCAUUUAAAACUCCUAAUCUAGAGGGUGUGCGGAGGAAACGGAAUUCCACAUGUAGCGGUGAAAUGCGUAGAUAUGUGGAAGAACAUCAGUGGCGAAGGCGGUUUCCUAGCAUACAACUGACGCUGAGGCGCGAAAGCAAGGGGAGCAAAC